rnacentral:rRNA from 1 species
CACAUGCAAGUCGAGCGGGCACCUUUCGGGGUGUCAGCGGCGGACGGGUGAGUAACGCGUGGGAACGUGCCCUCUGGUUCGGAAUAACUCAGGGAAACUUGAGCUAAUACCGGAUACGCCCUUUUGGGGAAAGGCUUGCUGCCGGAGGAUCGGCCCGCGUCUGAUUAGCUAGUUGGUGAGGUAACGGCUCACCAAGGCGACGAUCAGUAGCUGGUCUGAGAGGAUGAUCAGCCACACUGGGACUGAGACACGGCCCAGACUCCUACGGGAGGCAGCAGUGGGGAAUAUUGGACAAUGGGCGCAAGCCUGAUCCAGCCAUGCCGCGUGAGUGAUGAAGGCCUUAGGGUUGUAAAGCUCUUUUAUCCGGGACGAUAAUGACGGUACCGGAGGAAUAAGCCCCGGCUAACUUCGUGCCAGCAGCCGCGGUAAUACGAAGGGGGCUAGCGUUGCUCGGAAUCACUGGGCGUAAGGGCGCGUAGGCGGCGUUUUAAUUCGGGGGUGAAAGCCCUGUGGCUCAACCACAGAAUGGCCUUCGAUACUGGGACGCUUGAGUAUGGUAGAGGUUGGUGGAACUGCGAGCGUAGAGGUGAAAUUCGUAGAUAUUCGCAAGAACACCGGUGGCGAAGGCGGCCAA